AUGUUCUCCUUCAAGUCCAGCGUCAAGUCGUCUUCCAGUGGGAACCAAGUUUCCACGCCGCGCUUCACUGAGGAAUCAGAUAUGCACGAGCAGUUGAACAAGUUGCAGGAGGAGCUGGUAAGGGAGAAAGAGGAGAAGGUACGUGCACUGGAUCAGAUAGAGGAGCUCAAGAAGAAAAGCAGUAAGAAGAAGCUAAAAGGCAGCAGUGGAGACGAUCAGUUGGACCUUGCACGCAGAUUAGAGCAGUUAGAAGUUGAGCUGGAGGCAGCAAGGGAUUCAGAGAAGAACAUGCUAGUGUCGCUGGAGGCCCAAACAAAGCAGCUUGAACAAACUAAGGUAUCUCUGGAGGAGGCCAAGCUUGAGAUAGAUUCGCUUGAAGACAACAACAAGACCUUGGUGGCACUGUCCUCUAAUCCAACUAGACAGCCAGCCAGGAAUUUCAGAAGAAGUGGUGUAAUGUCCUUCUCCUUUGCCGAUCCUGGUGAGGUGGAGACAUUCUCAUUACAGCGUGACCUCAAGUUGGCUGUCGAAGCCGAGGAGAAGUGCAAGAAAGCCAUGGAUGACUUGGCGAUAGCCUUGACGGAACAAACCACGGCAGCUAGAGAGGCAAAAAUGGAGCUCUCGAUGGUGCAAGCUCAGUUGAAAAAUGCAACAACUGAAUUGGAGAACUCAAAGGCCUCUCUGGAAAUCAUGGAAGAAAAGCUCCGGUUGGCACAGGAAGAGGCUGCCAGACUGAAUUUUGAGUUGGAUGAGUUGGCAGCAGCCUCAAGAGAGAAAGAGAGAGGACUCAUCGAUUGCAUCAAGAUAUUUGAGGGGGAGAUGAACAAAGCAAAGGAAGAGAAUGACAAACUGUUUGAAUCACAGAGAGUGAUCAGAGAUGAGAAUUCCAGGCUGAGGGAAAUGCUGAAGCAUGCAGUUAAUGAAGCCAAUGUAGCAAAAGAAUCCUUGGAGAUUGCCAGGGUAGAAAAUUCUCAGCUUCAAGAAGACAUGUCUGAGAAAGAGAAUACCUUAAAGAGCAUCGUCCAAGAAUACGAGUCCUUGAAGGUAAGUGAGGCUGCUGCACAGAGUAGCAUUAGAGAAUUGAAGGACAUGAUUGAUGCUAUGUUCAGUUCAGAGUCGACCAAAACCUCGGCAGAAGCAUCACCCAUAGAUGCCAAGGGAGGCAACAGGAAAGGAAGAUAUGUGGCAGCAGAUAAUAUGUACUCUGAUGCUGAAAGCUCUCCUUGUUCAAAGGAUAUUAGGAGUCCUGCAAGGCAGCAAAAGAGGACGAUUCUUAGGAAAUUUGGUGACAUAAUGAAGAAAAGAAACCCUCAAACUCAAAGUGUAAUCUAG
rnacentral:rRNA from 1 species